CUACCGCCACGCGCUCUCCGCUGGCCUGUGGGACACAGGCCUCCCCCCCCCCCCCAACCUCCCCUUCUCGCCUUCGCCGAGUGUGGGCGCCUCGCGGCCCUGGCGAGCCGCUCCAG
rfam:Ovis aries breed Texel chromosome 15, whole genome shotgun sequence.